AGCAACCGCCUUACUUAAUCAACAGCAAUAUAUAUAGAAUACAGUAACCACAGGUUUGGGUGUGAGAGCAACUGCCUUACUUAAUCAACACAGCAGCAAUAUAUAUAGAAUACAGUAACCACAGGUUUGGGUGUGAGAGCAACUGCCUUACUUACUCAACACAGCAGCAAUAUAUAUAGAAUACAGUAACCACAGGUUUGGGUGUGAGAGCAACUGCCUUACUUAAUCAACAC